rnacentral:tRNA from 1 species
GAAGGGAUAGCUCAGGGGUAGAGCGCAUGCUUAGCAUGCAAGAGGUCCUAGGUUCAAUCCUCAGUACCUCCA